AACCACACACAAACACACACAACAGAGUCUAAACGGGGACUGAAGGAGAAGGAGAAAAAAAACCCAUCCAAGUUGAGGUUGUAACCCGUGCCUCAUACGUGUGCGUUGGACGUCGUCGCACGCCAAGUUAAACGACGCUCGGAUAAGGAGUCGAGGAAUCGGUCGAAGCAAGAGGUCGCCUCAGGAUUCUUUAGCCUGGCGGCAUGCAGAGGAAGGAAGACAGAGCCCUCAACCUAAAAGCUUUUCACCUGUGAGGGUGUAGUAGUAGGUGUAGAGUUUUCUCGCGUACUUGCGCGCUCGGGCCUGAUUACCGAUCGCUCGCGCACACACCGCUGUUGCUGGCUUGACCUGUUAUGACUAUCGGUGGUUCAGACCUGCGCGACUUCUGCUACCUCCGCUGCUGUCACUAGAUCUACUACAGUACUACUACUACCUUUACAAUCGCCGCCGUUUGGUCACAGUCACAUGAGCGGGGACUUUGGCCGACCAGGGGGAAGGAAGAAAUUGCGCGACGGUCACCGUGAGAGGACAGUAGGACGAGGGCGUUCGCUUGUCACGGAGAACGCCAAUAAAUACGCGUGCCACUGUACUGCACAGCGGUCAUUGAUUUCACCUGAUUUAUGUGCGCUGGCUCGCAUUUCUUUGGACAGAGAUUUCUGUUGAUCUACCACCGAGCAGGAAAGUGUUUGCUCUUUGUGGAUGGAAGUUGAUUCUCUCAAUCGUUGUGCUUUUCUUACAAAUGAUUUUUGGAUUAACUCUUUAUGUGUAGGAUUGUUCCUGUACGAAACAUCUGGUGUGUGAACAGAGCUACAGUGACGCAUAGAUGCUGUUAAUGAGCGAUCUCAGAUCUCUUUUGGAUUACGGCUUUUUUUUUUUACAAGCGACACUAAGCGUCAGCAGAUUUGUGCUGGCUGACAAGUGAUUUUCCUUACAAUCGUUCACUGGAUUUCUAUGUUUCCAUACAUCGUGUUGUGCAUGCCUCGUGGAAUCUGCUACGGUUUUAGCGCCUCUUAAAUUCUUGAAUCUAUUUUCUUUUACUUUUUACUCAAGAAUAUUGGAAUCCGUAUCUACCAAGUAUAACCUUGUUGGGGUUAGUGUGUUCGAAGUCUCGUUUAAUAAGCCGAAGAGCCAUUUAGACAAUUCACAUGCAAUUAUCUCUCUACCACACUAAAUCGACCGGAUAAUCGAAGUGGUGUGAUAAAAAGCUUACUCAAUCCGAAACAUCCUCUACACACA